AUUAUAAAUUAAAAGACAGGAAUUCCCGAUUAUAUCUAUCAUUUUUUACAAUUGGAGCCAUGAAAUUUAUAGGAAAGAUUCACUACAAUAUAGUAUCAAUGAUCUAUUCUCUUUUGAUGAAUAUUGCCUUCUACAAACUUAAUUUUUUUUAUAAAAAUUCGCAAGGACACGCAAGAACGUAAAUAUACAUAAAUAUGUAUGCCAUACUUAUUGCUAACUGAUUAUUAACACUUUGCAUUAUCAAGAAAAAAUAAUUAAAAAAGAACAUUUCCAAAAGAAGAAACAAAAUAAGUAAAAUUCCAAAAAAUUCUUUUAGUACUGAUAAAAUUUCAUAAAAAUGAUAUCUUUGAUUUUCAGAGAUAAAGAAGAGAUCCCUUGAAAAUUGUAAAUUUUCCAGGUUUUUUCCAAACAAUAAACACCCUGAAAGACAAUACAGAGAUCGCCGCACCCGUGUUUUUGAGGAUCAAUUUUAGAUAUUUUCGGUCAACGCAAGAUCUCAUUAAAGCCAAAAAUGGAGUUUUCACGGACGGACGACAGACCGUCGCGCCCGUUUCGAAGACGUUGCUUCCUUUUGUGACGUCGUCGCCAAACAAGAAUCGAAUUUGGGAUUUUUCUUGCUGUCUGUGGGCACGCACGAGUAAUGCAUACCGGUCGCGCACUAUUUCCAUCAGGACGAGAAGCCGCGAAAUCCUCUAAGGUCGUCCCGGCGGCACUGCACUAGCGCGGCGUGCACUGCGUCACGAUGCUCGUCCGCUUCGAUUUUCCGCAGUCGUCUGCGACUGUGCAACGCGAACGAUUUUGUGCCAGCAGACGUUUCCCCGUCGCCUACAAGGUACUCGCGAAGAAAGGUUCGCGAGCUCGCCUUUCCUGUUCCUCGGCUAUUUUAAAAGCGGUUUCGAUCUCUUCAACCUUUUAACUACUUUCCUUACUCGAAUAUGCUCGGGUAUCAUGUUGGAAUAUUAUAUCUUGGCUACAAUAUGCAAUCAGAACAGAGGAAUCAGGCAUAGAAGAAAAUGAGCGUUGAUUUAUGAUUUGACGAAAGCCGCACGUCUGUCGUUAUACGACGAGAAGCUUCAAGGAUGACGAAACGGUAAACGCACUUUGCUCGCCGUCCUCGUGGCAGGUUGACGCCUAAGACGAUGCUUCAUGAAUAGUCGAAGCAUAAUGAUUUGGAACGUUGGACUGUUAUAGAACAGCUUAGACACAUUGUCAAAAACAUAGAGCCAAUGCUCUCCCUCCGCAUAUUUAAUUUAAUCUUUACCGAUUUACUUUCCAACUGGAUCUGUUACUGUCAAGAAACUGUACAAUCUUGAACAGAAAUAACGAGUGACCUGAUGAUUUAACUAGUUAACACAUCUCAAGAUUCUAUGCACCUGCACGAAAUAAUACACCGACGUAAGCGGAAGACAGAAAACUUUAUGUAAUAACGUAUUUCUAAUCUUAUCUUUUUAUUUUAUGUAAUUUUGGUCACUUCUUGUAUAGGGUAAGCAAAUAACAUUUGCAGAUUAAAUUUAAUUACGUAAGUGCAAAAUAUUCUCUUAUGUUCCUUGCAUUAAUCAUUCAAUUUAACAUCUCUAAUUGUAUUAUAGUUUAAUUGGAGCGAAAUGAUCGAAAGGACGAUUGGUUUUAGAGUGUGAUAAAGCGGAUGAAACGUGAUCAGCAGAUCGACCGAUGCAUUCCUCUCAUUAGCGAAAGGUUCGACGUUCGGUGGAAAAUGCUGUAAGAACUUACGUAAUGAUCGUGUGACGAAACUUCUGUUCACAGACAUAAGUGCGUGCUUGCAUGCGUGCAUGCAUGCAUGCAUGCAUGCAUGCAUAUUCUAUUUCGUUUUUCUACUUUGUUAAUGUUAUACUUAGCUUCUCGCUGCGUCUGCAACGUGAACUUCGGUUACGUCCGAAAGUUCACAUCGUAUACUAGAACUAUCGAUCCUGAUGAACACAAUUUCGUCUAGACAUCAAUUCUAAUUACUUAAGCACAAGGUCAAAAAAUUUGCUCAAUAAUAAUGGAAAAGAUACGGUAAUUAUAUUCGUUUUGAAAUAUUUUCAGAUAACCAA